AUUGAACGCUAGCGGGAUGCCUUACACAUGCAAGUCGAACGGAGUGGCGAACGGGUGAGUAAUGUAUAGGAACGUGCCCAGUAGCGGGGGAUAACUACGCGCAAGCGUAGCUAAUACCGCAUACUAUUGGAGCGGCCGAUAUCGGAUUAGCUAGUUGGUGGGGUAACGGCUUACCAAGGCGACGAUCCGUAGCUGGUUUGAGAGGACGACCAGCCACACUGGAACUGAGACACGGCCCAGACUCCGACGGAAGGCAGAAGGGGGGAAUUUUGGACAAGGGGUGAAGCCCUGAUCCAGCCAGCCCGCGUGGGCGAUGAAGGCCUUCGGGUUGUAAAGCACUUUUAGCAGGAAAGCGGUACCUGAAGAAUAAGCACCGGCUAACUACGUGCCAGCAGCCGCGGUAAUAC
rnacentral:rRNA from 1 species